UACAGAGGGUGCGAGCGUUGUCCGGAAUCACUGGGCGUAAAGGGCGCGUAGGCGGCCUCUUAAGUCGAACGUGAAAUCCCCGGGCUCAACCUGGGAACGGCGCGCGAAACGGGGGGGCUUGAGUUCGGGAGAGGAGAGUGGAAUUCCCAGUGUAGAGGUGAAAUUCGUAGAUAUUGGGAAGAACACCGGUGGCGAAGGCGGCUCUCUGGACCGAGACUGACGCUGAGGCGCGAAAGCGUGGGGAGCAAACAGG
rnacentral:rRNA from 1 species